rnacentral:rRNA from 1 species
UGGGCAACCUGCCCCUGGCUCUGGGAUAACUCCGGGAAACCGGAGCUAAUACCGGAUACGAGACCGAUUGGCAUCUUUACGGUCUGGAAAGUUUUUCGGCCAGGGAUGGGCUCGCGGCCUAUCAGCUUGUUGGUGGGGUCAUGGCUCACCAAGGCGACGACGGGUAGCUGGUCUGAGAGGAUGGCCAGCCACAUUGGGACUGAGACACGGCCCAGACCUCCGUACGGGAGCAG